rnacentral:rRNA from 1 species
CCUACGGGAGGCAGCAGUGGGGAAUCUUAGACAAUGGGCGCAAGCCUGAUCUAGCCAUGCCGCGUGUGUGAUGAAGGCCUUAGGGUCGUAAAGCACUUUCGCCAGGGAUGAUAAUGACAGUACCUGGUAAAGAAACCCCGGCUAACUCCGUGCCAGCAGCCGCGGUAAUACGGAGGGGGUUAGCGUUGUUCGGAAUUACUGGGCGUAAAGCGUACGUAGGCGGAUCAGAAAGUAAGGGGUGAAAUCCCAGGGCUCAACCCUGGAACUGCCUCUUAAACUCCUGGUCUUGAGUUCGAGAGAGGUGAGUGGAAUUCCGAGUGUAGAGGUGAAAUUCGUAGAUAUUCGGAGGAACACCAGUGGCGAAGGCGGCUCACUGGCUCGAUACUGACGCUGAGGUACGAAAGUGUGGGGAGCAAACAGGAUUAGAUACCCCGGUAGUC